rnacentral:rRNA from 1 species
GACAUCCAGAGAACUUAGCAGAGAUGCUUUGGUGCCUUCGGGAACUCUGAGACAGGUGCUGCAUGGCUGUCGUCAGCUCGUGUUGUGAAAUGUUGGGUUAAGUCCCGCAACGAGCGCAACCCUUAUCCUUUGUGCCAGCGGUUCGGCCGGGAACUCAAAGGAGACUGCCGGUGAUAAACCGGAGGAAGGUGGGGAUGACGUCAAGUCAUCAUGGCCCUUACGGCCAGGGCUACACACGUGCUACAAUGGCGCAUACAAAGAGAAGCGACCUCGCGAGAGCAAGCGGACCUCAUAAAGUGCGUCGUAGUCCGGAUUGGAGUCUGCAACUCGACUCCAUGAAGUCGGAAUCGCUAGUAAUCGUAGAUCAGAAUGCUACGGUGAAUACGUUCCCGGGCCUUGUACACACCGCCCGUCACACCAUGGGAGUGGGUUGCAAAAGAAGUAGGUAGCUUAACCUUCGGGAGGGCGCUUACCACUUUGUGAUUCAUGACUGGGGUGAAGUCGUAACAAGGUAGGCGUAGCGAG